rnacentral:lncRNA from 1 species
GAAAUGCUGUCUUUACUACCCUGCUCAACCCUAGCUCCCCACACAAACCAAUCCUAGUCAGUGACUUAAAAAUGGCCGAUUUAAAGCAAUUUCUUGCUGAUGACGGUGUCCAGGUUGAAUUUGCUGGUGGGGCUUUGCGAUGUGGUGAAUAUGUGAAUACGCAAGGUUGGGGAUGCAAGCCAUAAGGGUGGUGGUGCUGGUUCGCAGCAAGUUGUGAUUGAAGGACAUGAAGGUCCAGCAUGUGAGGAUUAUUACAAGAUACGGGAAUAUCUCUAUUCGCACUUUUAUUUUCUUUGAGAAACAAUUUAGGAAGUUUUGGGGUUAGUUGGAGCCUGGAGCCUAAAUUCUUUUAAUUAGACUGGGGCUGGGUGUAGUAGAUGAUCACUAACUAGCAUCUAUUAGUUAAGGGGUGUUCGUUUGACCUAUGAAAAACUUUACGGAACUCAUUGAGGCCUAUUUGUAUUGCAGCCUCAAAUCGAGUAUUCCCCAGUGGGCGAAAGUCCCCAUUUGUAACACAAAAGUAGAAAACAAUUCCAUUACCUGACUUCCAUAUAAUCCCAUUUAUAUCCAUAUUUGUGAAAGUAUGUAAGAUAUCCCAGGAACAGAAGUU